rnacentral:lncRNA from 1 species
UAUUUAUAGCUAGAUGAACGUUUUCUAAUAUCUUUGAAACAGACUGUGCGUGACGUGCACAACUUUGUGCGCAUCGCGCAUGCGGCAAUGACUGAACACCUUCAAAUGCUUUCCAAGCUGCACCAAGCGCAGCUCAAUGCGCACAUUGUCCAGUAGUUGUACACAUGAUCAUCCUUCAUGGUUGCACAAUGUGUAGCUCCUAGCACGCAUUACACAUGAGGUAGUAGUUGAACCUUCAUUGAUUCUUCAUCACUUGUCCUAUUCCUCCUCACUAAAACGUUUGGUG